GCAGAUGCUGAGUACUGACCUCCUUUCUUUCCAAGAUAUUAUUGCUUUAUAUAACCUGAUCCCCAGGCUGAGGUUUGGCUGGGCAGUAUAUCUCCUGCAGUGGUGAAAUUCUGGGCUUUGACAUUAAGGCUGGUGUUUGGGGAUGGUCUGUGGAUUUUCAGAUGGACCUACCCUGAGGAUCCAUUCUACCUUUUCCCCCUAAAUCCUCAUCCAUCCACUGUUCUCCUGGGGUCUCUUCAUGCCCUUCACCCUCCUCUGUUUGGUAGUGGGGUACCUCUGUCUCUUAUAUCUUGGGUUGGUCUCCAGACUUCCUGAUGAGGACUCUGUGGGAUGUGGGGACAGUCACUGAUGCACAGGCUUCUACUUCACAGGGGCACUGUCAGAAUCUGCCCAGAACAAGAUGCUGAAUGGAAUUGGGAGUCUUGUGCUGGAACUGAUUUUUCUUGGCUUGGGCCUUAGUGUCUACUUUUGCAAUAAGAAAGGUAAGUCACCUUUAGAGAAAAUGGGCAAGACUGGCUCUAGGACUAAGUGUUUCUGUUGUAACUUUUCUUAUCUCAGUGAAAAGGGGGAGCCAAACUAGGGAUAGAAGUAGAUUGCAGAAAUUUGGGAGGCCAUGAGUCUUUCUUGUGCUGAGCUGGAUGUUAGGUGAGAUGACAGGAGGUUACAGUUCUUACCUGUCCAGUUAACUAUGUGACCUGUGCUUCACCAAAACACUUAGACUGCUGAUGGGACUGGGGCCUUCUUCCACAUGCCUCUGCAGAAGCUUUGUGUUCACUUUAGCACAAUAUCCUCUUUAAUCAGAUACCAGGAGAGAUGGUGAGGAGUGGGUGGUUGUACAAAAUCACCCUUAGUGUUCCGAGUUGCAGAGAGGCCCCAGGGGUAUUGGGUAGGGGGCUGACUUUCUCUAGGGAUUUAACUUAUGACUUAUUUUUUCUCUUUCCUUCAGGGAUCAUGCACAGAUUCCAACAUUUUUCUUCCUGUUACCACUGUUCCAUGGUCUACUGCUGUCUUCACCAUUGUGCAAGUUCCUAGCCUCCCUUCUCUCAGGCCUGUGAGGAAUCCACCUCUGCCAGCCCUGUCCCCCAUCAAGACCUGAGUCCCAAAGUGCCUGAGCAGCAGAUGCCAGGCCCUCUUCUUUUGCACACUCAUACACACACACAUACACAAUUUUUAGUUGUGAUGGGUCUUUAUUUUAUUCAUUUGUUUAUAUGUGGUGCUGAGAAUUGAACCCAGUGACUCACACAUGCUAGUCAAGUGUUCUACCACUGGGCCAAAACCCCAGGCCCCUGGCCCUCUUCUUGUUCUGGUCUUUCCUGAGUUUCUGUGACUGCUUUCCACCCAACUCUGCUCCCUGUGCUGCUGCCACAUCUGUUUGGGCCACGAGUACUUUCAACAUGUUCCUGAUCUUGUCCUCUGUCUGAAGACUUC
rnacentral:lncRNA from 1 species